CAGAGUGGAGUGGCCGGUAAAGUGGAGCAGUUUGUGGAGAAGUGAAAGUGAAAGCUUCAGAGACUUGGUGAGGAGAAGGGAAGGCACUGGCUCAGUUGCCAUCUGACCGAAGAGCAGCAAGGAUGUCUAUCCUCUUCCAGGUGUUUGUAGAAGGGGUGGAGGGCAGAAGAAACAUCAUAGACGUGGCAAAUAAAGAGCAGGAAUUCAACAAUAUGACCACUGACAAAUUCAUGGAGAUGGUGGCCACCAAACUCCUGAAGAAGCCAGGUUACCUACAAUUUAGUUUGCUGUAUGCUAACCAACAAAUGGAAAGAGGGAAAAAAUUCUCAGAUUAUUUUAUCAGAAACAAGUCUACUUUCGUCAUAGUUAUACAGCUGCCUGGAGGAGGGGGUGACGUUGACUUAAUGAAGGACUCAGUUUUCACAUAGGAAAUAAUGUGCAUCGGGGCCUACCCUAAACUGUGGUGGGUUCCUGCAUAGGCAUGGAUUUGGUUAUCAUGUGCCUGGAAAGAAACCAGAGAGGGGAGUGCUGCUGAGCCUCAAAGGUCACUGUCACACCCAGAGCUCAGCACACCAGUGGGGGAACAUGGCCAUCACUGCCAGUCCGCCAAGCCACCAGGUUGCCAGUCCAGAACAUCUGCCCGUGACAGACCAGCUGUCUUGUGUCCUGAAAACACCAACAAAAAGCUGUAUUUCUCCCACCUUAUCUGUUCUCUUCCUCCACUUCCCUUUGCAUCCGUUUAGUUAAAAGCAGGAAAAGUAACAACAAAACUCACAGCUCUCAGCGAAAGAACGAACCGUCUUCCCCACUAAGAAAUGAGCCAGAAUGAGACUCUCACCAAUAUCCUCUCUGGAAAAAGGAACUUUUAAGUUUUGCUUAUGAUUGUUUUGCUUAACACUCGCUUUCAAAAUGCUUUGUCUGCUUUUGAAUUCUUUUCUUGUGUAUCCUGAUUAAUAAAUUUCCAAGUUGCAAUGUGAGGAUUCUA